AUGAGGCUUGGCGUCCUCGCGCUCCUGCUGUUUGCGCGCAUGCGCGUGGAAGAGCGAUUUCAAAUACAAGGAAGUAACGGCUCCUUUCCUCAAAGAAAGAAACACCCGCUGCGCAAGAAAAUCCAGUAUGACUUCUCUAAAAGUCUCAAAGGAUUCACAGAACAGCACUAUCAGUUAAUAAAGAAAUGUGUCUCUGUAGUGGACACCUGUGAGGCAGAGGACAGACAGCUGCUGAAGUCUGAUGCUGGCUGA
rnacentral:lncRNA from 1 species